rnacentral:lncRNA from 1 species
GAAGGUUGAGACUUCACAGGGCGAGAUUCCUCCUUUGAAGAAGGAAACAUCAUGUUAGAGGCUUCGUCAAAUUCUUCUUGCUUAUGUUCCAAUCUUCCUGAUCUUGAAUGCCAUGGAAUGGGAGAAGGAAGCACCACACUCUCUUUCUUCUUGUUCUCAGCUCUAGAACCUUCAACUUUUGUGUUUCUGUUUGAAUUGCUUGAAAAUCUUUUGGAAGAUGUUGACCUUUUUUGAGACUGAACUUCAGCAUCGAC